GAAACCAACAGGGAUUCCCCUAGUAACGGCGAGUGAAGCGGGAACAGCUCAAAUUUGAAAUCUGGCCCUUGGGUCCGAGUUGUAAUUUGCAGAGGAUGCUUUUGGUGCGGUGCCUUCCGAGUUCCCUGGAACGGGACGCCUUAGAGGGUGAGAGCCCCGUACGGUUGGCCACCAAGCCUGUGUAAAGCUCCUUCGACGAGUCGAGUAGUUUGGGAAUGCUGCUCAAAAUGGGAGGUAUAUUUCUUCUAAAGCUAAAUACUGGCCAGAGACCGAUAGCGCACAAGUAGAGUGAUCGAAAGAUGAAAAGCACUUUGAAAAGAGGGUUAAAUAGCACGUGAAAUUGUUGAAAGGGAAGGAUUUAUGACCAGACUUUUUCUAGGGGGAUCAUCCGGUGUUCUCACCGGUGCACUUCCCCUAGUUGAGGCCAGCAUCGGUUUCUGUCGGGGGAUAAAAGCUUCGGGAAUGUGGCUCCCUCCGGGGAGUGUUAUAGCCCGUUGCAUAAUACCCUGACGGGGACCGAGGUUCGCGCAUUGCAAGGAUGCUGGCGUAAUGGUUAUUAAUCACCCGUCUUGAAACACGGACCAAGGAGUCGAACAUUUGUGCGAGUGUUUGGGUGUUAAACCCUCACGCGUAAUGAAAGUGAACGGAGGUGAGAGCCCCUCGGGGUGCAUCAUCGACCGAUCCUGAUGUCUUCGGAUGGAUUUGAGUAAGAGCAUAACUGUUCGGACCCGAAAGAUGGUGAACUAUGCGUGGAUAGGGUGAAGCCAGAGGAAACUCUGGUGGAGGCUCGCAGCGGUUCUGACGUGCAAAUCGAUCGUCAAAUCUGCGCAUGGGGGCGAAAGACUAAUCGA
rnacentral:rRNA from 2 species